UACGGGGGGGCAAGCGUUGUUCGGAAUUACUGGGCGUAAAGGGCUCGUAGGUGGCCAACUAAGUCAGACGUGAAAUCCCUCGGCUUAACCGGGGAACUGCGUCUGAUACUGGAUGGCUUGAGUUUGGGAGAGGGACGCGGAAUUCCAGGUGUAGCGGUGAAAUGCGUAGAUAUCUGGAGGAACACCGGUGGCGAAGGCGGCGUCCUGGACCAACACUGACACUGAGGCGCGAAGGCGUGGGGAGCGAACGGG
rnacentral:rRNA from 1 species